rnacentral:rRNA from 1 species
UACGUAGGUGGCAAGCGUUGUCCGGAUUUAUUGGGUUUAAAGGGUACGUAGGCGGUUCUUUAAGUCAGUGGUGAAAUACAGCCGCUUAACGGCUGAGGCGCCAUUGAUACCGGGGAACUUGAGUACAGACGAGGUAGACGGAAUUGACGGUGUAGCGGUGAAAUGCAUAGAUAUCGUCAAGAACACCGAUAGCGAAGGCAGCUUACUAGACUGUAACUGACGCUGAUGCACGAAAGUGUGGGGAUCAAACAGG